GAUGAAGAACGCAGCGAAAUGCGAUAAGUAGUGUGAAUUGUAGAAUUCCGUGAAUCAUCGAAUCUUUGAACGCACAUUGCGCCUUCUGGUAUUCCGGAAGGCAUGCCUGUUCGAGAGUCAUUAACAACCGUUUCGAUCCCUUUCUUUCAGAAAUUACAAAGAGGAAAAGGGUUUGGUUAUGGUGGAGGAGGGAAAGGGAGCGUUUAGCCUGUAAAAAAAGAGGCUGUGUUCCGCCUCCCCCCCAAAAUUGUACAGGCGGUCGUGUGCGCCCACGCAUCGAGGUGUUGUAAAAGCUGCCACGGCACUUUUCACCUGUGCAGUGCGAGAUUGGCCAGCCGGUUUAAAAACCCCUCCAAACAAUCAAAGGUUGACCUCGGAUCAGGUAGGGAUACCCGCUGAACUUAAGCAUAUCAAUAAGCGGAGGA
rnacentral:misc_RNA from 1 species